ensembl:lncRNA
CUGUCACAUUGCCCUCCUCACUGUUUUCAUACACACUACACAGGGUUCUACACCCCAGCUUUUCCACUGGCCUUACCUCUGUCUAGGAUACUUUUGAUAGGCAUAUCUCCUCUAGGCUGUUGCUCAAAUGUCACAAUCUUAGAACUUCCCUGACUACUCUUUCUAAAUAUCACCCCCUCUCUCUAUUUCAGUAUCCCGAUUUAAUUUUAAUCACGGCACUUACAAACACCUGAUACAUUACUUGUAUUUGGGGACCACAUGAUCCCAACAGAAUGUAAGCUCCAUGAGGAAAAGGUUGAUUUUCUCUGUCCUAACACACACAGUUGUGCUUGACACAUACUUUGGAGAGAAUGAAUGAAUGAUGGAAUGAACAAACAAAUUUAAAUUUGUUGAGAGAGGCAUAGCUAGACAGGCUGAGGAUUCUGCUAUGAAACAUAUUCAGGGAUGACAAGAUGGUGACAAAGCCAUGGUCUUUAUCUCACCUACGUGGUGGUGUCCUUGGGUUCCCUCGGCGUUGACCCCUUUCCUAACAGAAUGGAAGGUCCUGUUGUCUCUUCCACAUAUUACUCGCAGUGAGCGAAAGAGGGCUUUACCACACCAGGCCUGCAGAUUCCAGUCUGAAGCUUUAUCUAUCCUGCCCCUUGGGGGACUGCAGCUGGCUUUCCCCCAUGAGACCUAUUUUGUAUUGAACAGGAAAGCACAAACAAUCACAAUGCCCAGCAAAGAUAAAGUGUUUUCCAUGCUCUGUUACGACAGUGAUCCCCAUAGAGACGUUAUCUUCAGUUUACGGAGACUUUUUUCUGAGUCCCAAAUUGCAGGAAUCUGUGGGGUUUUCCCCCUAACCUUGCCCUUCCGGCCUUUGUGGAUCCUCCUGGAAUGGUCCACGGGCAUCUAUAUCUGCUGUUCCCCAAUCCCACCAGCAAGGGGCGCGCGAGAUGAAACAGUUCUGUCCUGGGAUGUACCACCGAGGGUAGCGGAAAGACCACCCACUCUGGAAGGUACCAUUGGGAGAGGGCGUGUGACAACAGAGAGGGUCCCCUUACACCGCGUCGGGCAUGGACCACAGUUCCCAGCAGCGGCACUCAUGGCGCCACUAGGUCCAUCCCCACUCGCUCCUCUUCGUCUUCCCACUGCUUUUGAAUCCGAGUGGACACAGAAAUAUCAGUGGGCAAGUAGCAUCAACAUUGGGACCUAUAGAUCAGGAUCGCCCAAGCUGGAUGAACCUGUGGUUGACCAGCAGCCCAGUGUUGAGCAACCUCAACAAGAGGAACCACCAGCUGGGAUUCAGGAUAUCAUACCUGGGAAGGAGGAAGUAAAUGGAGAGGAUCCACUGAAUCAUAAUGAAGAGAAGGAAAAGGAUGCCUCUGGAGCAAAAUGUUCCUGGAAUAAUGCUCCUGAGGUUCUUAUUCAUCACAUUUUUACCAUAAUAGCCUAAGACUUUUAAGUCAUAAUGCUGAGGGAAUCAAUAUCAUCAUUCCCUACUGUAUGCUUUACAGCUGAAUUGAUACAUUUUUUUUAAAGAUUCUGACCUGGAAACUGAUCUCCAGGAAUUGGCUGAGGCAAAGACUGGGGGUAAAGGUGGAGAUGGUCAUGAUGUCAGGGAGGAGUUUGCAUCAAAUACAGAGCCUGUUGAAAUGCCAGAAGCAGGUAUGUCAUCCAUUCAGAAAGUAAUUUAUGUGGUUUCUGUUUUUCAGAAUAUUAUAUCUUUAACAAUAUAGAGGGAACAUUACUAUUAUUUUUAUAACAGAGUUCACAUAUUCUUUGAAAGAUAGUUCAGACCCCAGAUGCCUGAGUGCCUGACUUACAGACUUUCAAAUAAAGAAGCAGACAGGAUCA